rnacentral:rRNA from 1 species
UGAGCAAUCUGCCCUUCUCAUCGGAAUAAGCGUUGGAAACGACGUCUAAUGCCGAAUACGACCUCCGGGGUUUCNCAUGAUCGGAGGUGGAAAGCUCCGGCGGAGAAGGAUGAGCUCGCGGCCUAUCAGCUUAUUGGUGAGGUAAUGGCUCACCAAGGCGACGACGGGUAGCCGGCCUGAGAGGGUGACCGGCCACACGUGGGACUGAGACACGGCCAGACUCCGUAGGAGG